rnacentral:rRNA from 1 species
ACAGCCAUAUCAAAUUGAAACACUGGUUCCCAUAUGAUCACCAAAGUUAAACAACAUCAAACCUGGUCAGUACAUAGAUGGGUGACUGCUUGGGACUACCAGGUGCUGUAA